rnacentral:siRNA from 1 species
ACGAGGACGACGAGGACAGUGUGG